UUUCUACUCCUACUUUGUUGUAUUAGUCGAGAUAACAAGCUCUACAAUGACGCUCCUUGAGCUGUAUUCUUGAGGAAGAAGAAGAAGAAGAGGAAAACUCUAGAUGCCUAAGUGAUCGUCCCCUCUCCUGGCGGGGUAGUGCUCUAUUUAUGGACCGCCCAUGUCACAUUGACAUACGGGCCGGAACCUAACGUUAUCUUCUUUGGGCCCCGCCGGGCACGCGCUUUGGUUCCCUCCGGGUGGCGCCGCAGGGGAUAAGACAAAUUUACUUUUCCCUGGCACCCUGCAACAAGUACAGCAGUAAUCUGUCGACUUCCGUUAGAGAUACUCUUUCGGUGCUUCUCUACGCAGUCACCUGACACCGCAACGUAAGUGGCGACUACUUUUCCGUGAUAAAGAUAACGCUGCUUUAUUUUGCGCCACGCGGUGAGGAUAAGACCGCCGAGACAUCUCGACGCCAGCCGAGAUCAAAGUAUUCGUCCUUAUCCUGCAAUCUUGUAAGACAAGAUAGUCAUGCCGGCAUACCAAGGCAUCGUUGACUAUGCCGACUUUGCCUUCGUCUUCUCGGCUAAAGCGUGUCGUCAUGACCCUACCCGGAGUCAUCCCCGACACUAGUCCCCGAAGCUGUUGCGCUCCGGCAGGGAAGAAUGUCGGACCAUGACAGUUUCCCAUAGACCUACCACCGAAGCCUACCAGGGUUUAGCCGAAGAGGAUACCGAAACAACCCCGAGUUCUCCUAGUUGAGACCAAGUUAUUCCGACAUAUCAAGUCGACGUGCUUAUUCUGCCUUGAGCCGAGAUUCUUUUUUCCUUCGUAGCCGACACUAGCAAACUUGCUUCUGCCAAUAAUGGUACCACCUGUCGCUCGCACUCUGGGCUCUGCUUAAAUAACGGGCAGAUAAAACCCGAAGUACUGCCGGCGCGCUUUUUGAGGCGAGCGCGUCAUCCCAUCGUACAGUAAAGCCGACAGAGCCAUUAAGAGGGGAAUUUUGAUUCCCACACGGAUACUUAUCCUCCCGGAUUUGACAGGAUUCUUUGUGCCACGCCGCACGGUUUCCGAACGCGUGCGCGUUAAUGGGGUUGAAUGCCCCCAUGAUCGUGCGCGUUCUUUCCGUUGGCCAUAGGGAUCGUGGGCAUGGAAGAUCCGCGCCCCAUUAGUGUGCCGCGGGUAUAAAUAGAGAGAGGGGGCGAGGGUAAAAAACCCUUCGCACUCAUCACAUCUCUCGCUCUCCUCUGCUCCUUUGCUCCUUGCGCAAUCCGCCAUUGCUGGUAGCUCCAAGUUCUUCUGCCGCCGCAGUUCCUAGCUCUUAGCCACCGAGCUCGCCGCCGCAAACUCGCGCGCGCUCGCUUGGCUCUCUGCCGCACUUCCUUGCUUUGCUCGAGCCUCGCGCCAGCACCUUCUCACCGGAGAAGCAAACCCUAGAUCUAGUUUUUCAAUCCAUGGCUUCCUCCUUCCGUGCCGCCGCCGUCGACCCUGCUGCUCAGCAGGUCGAAGAGAGGGCGGGCUCGGAGCGAGCUGGCUGGGAGGGCUUCGAUGUGUCCCAGGCGGACAUCGCGUGGCUCCGCCGCUCCCGGCGGAUUCCGGAAGAAGUGGAGUGCCGGAUCCCCGGCGACGAGGUUGUGCCGACUUCGGAGCCUGGUGAGCAUGUCAUCUUCCUCGCUCAUUUUGAACGCGGUUUUGCUCUCCCGGCCAGUGAAUUCACUAGGAAGUUCUUAGAUUUUUUCGGCCUUCUGCCGCACCACCUUCCGACAAACGCCAUCCUUACUCUCUCGGCGUUUGUCACCUGUUGCGAAGCCUACCUCGACCUCUGGCCUUCCAUCGACUUGUGGGCCAAAUAAUUUAUGUUCCGGCCCCAAGUUCUUCCUGAUAAAGAGAAUCCCAGCGCCCCUAAUCCCAUGACUCAGUGCGGCGCCGCCACCGUUAUACCUCGCGGAGGUUCAGCCUUUCCUCGGAUUCAAGGUCUUGAGUCCUGUAAGAAGUGGCUCAAGACCUUCUUUUAUGUCCAGAACUCCUCCAAGGCCGACAAGAUCAACUUGCCGGGAUUCGUAGUCAGCCCCCCGGAGGAGAAGUAAAACUGGACAUAUGAUCCGAAGGAGACCAUCCCCGAGAUCAACGAAAUCCAUGCCGGCAUCCUCGAACUCAAGGAAGACGGGAUGACGGCCGAUGACUUGCUGGCCACCUUCAUAUACCGGCGGCUGUACCCGCUACAAAGUCGGACGCACAAGAUGUGCUUCUAUGGUGGACAGUUUGACCCGAACCGGGUGUCCACCGUCCGGCUUGACCAGGCGGAAGUCCGGCGCCGGGUCAACGCGAUCGCGAAGAUGAGUAUACCGGAACGCUGGGAAUGGGGUAUGCCGGCGUACAGCCGGAAGCAUCGUCCGCCUCCGAAAUUUACCCUUCAGCGCAACGAAGACGGGAAUUCCCCGGAUAAACGCUUUGGGAGCCAGGCGCACGACCAUCGACCAUGAAGAUCCAGACUCAGAGGAUCACAUGCCGAUCGCCCAUGCCGGCCCCCGUCGCUCCGAAGGUAACAAUUCCCGACAUCUUCUCUUAGUCACUAUAACACUUAGUAUUAGAUUGCUCACACCCGCAUUUCUCCGGGGACAACCGACUCGGCCGAUCCCGCUGCUGCUGCUGGGGCGUCGGUCCAGUUGCGGCUACAGCGCCGGUCCGUGAAAAGCGCGGAGCCGAGAAAGAUCUUCCGCGAACUAUGAAGCGGAAUAAAGUCGCCUCUCGUGGUCCUAAGCCGAAACCCAUGACCGUUGGGUAAGACUUAUGACAACUUAAAUCUUGAUGUCGGUUUACUUCUUAGCUAUUAUGCGAAUAAUCCAUUCUCAUUCCUGCAGGGCGGCUUUGAUAGCUACCCAAUCUCAGAUGUGCAUCGCGUCUGAGAUCCCGGAGGCUCCAUCUCCCCGUGCCGAGCCUGCAACUCAAGCCACGGGUGAGACCGAGACUGCUGCGGAUCCGACAUCUCCUGUCCGGAAUGUCGGCCCGAGCAUCGACGCUUCGAGCGUCGCCCAAGCCGGGACGUCCGCAGCCGGGACUUCAACUGUCGAGGCUGCUCCUUCCUCGACGGCAACUGAGACGCAAACGAAGCCGCUCGUCACUGAGACCCCGCAACAACCAGCAAUGGGGCCCCAAGAACCACAAAUGACUCCAACACCGCCGUCAUCACCACCGCAGCCGCAAGCUACUCAACUUGCGGCUGCACAAGCUAAGAGAGCUAGGAGCUUCGCUAUCCUGGCGGGACAAGCGCCUCCGAGUUCCUCCAACUCACAGCCUGCCCGGGGCAACCAGGGAGUUCCCCUCAGGACGGCCAGGACGGCCAACGGGCAUAGCUAGGGGUCACUAGGCCCGCUCGUAAUAGACUAGAACAGUGCUGACGGUUACGAAGUGACCUCCAGCACCCUCUAGACAGCACGGCAGAGCCCUCUGGUGGGACCCGCGCCUGCGGCGACUCCAGAGUCCGUGGCCGCCCGGAUGUUCCAGGCAAGGGUCGCCUUAUUCGAGUCUAGCCGAGCUGCAGAGCGCACCGCCACCUUCAAGACCUUGCUAGCAAAGUACAAAAAGCUGGAGGCGGAGCACAAGGCUUUGGUAGCCGAUCGCCAGAGCCAGACCGGGGACAAUGCUCAAAUAUAUGAGCUUCUGAAGCGUGUCGCUGAAAUAGAAGUCCCGGCUCGAAGAGCAGCACCGGGAUGAAGUGGCCCGUCUGAAGGCACAGCUCGAAGCUCAGGCGGAGGCGCACAAGACCGAGGUAGGUCAACUGACCUUGGCCCUCUCCGCCCAAAUUGACGAGAAGAUCCGCCUAGAAGGCGAGGUGCAGAAAUGCAAGGAUCUCGUCGCUGAGGUCGAGACCCGCGCCAGUACUGCCGAGAAGGAGAAGGCCGAGAACGCCCACCUGCUCAGCGUGUGCCGGCGUGACCUCGUCAAAAUCGACGCCAUGCUGACGAUCUGUCGAGACCUCCCAAGCUGCUGUGAUUAAAGCCCGUGAAAGGAGGGAGCCAGCCGGGGCAGAACCCUUCGAAUACGACUUGGAGGAUUUCCUGGUUAGCAUUGCGAGCCGGGUAAAGCCUCUGAAGUCCUUCAGGGUGAACAUGCUCAACGCUGGCAUCCGGGCCUUUCGAGCUUUGUGGCCUGGGGAAGAAGCUCCGACCGACAUCCCGGAGUUGGCAACGUGCCUUCUGGAGGUGGAGGAUCGUCUUAAUGAAUUGCGGGAGUCGGCCGCUCGUGUCGGCGCCGACGAGGCCUUGUCGUUUGUACUUUCUUGGUACGACGGCAUCAACCUCGACGUGUUGCAGUCGAUGCGUGUCGGCUCCCCCUACCUCUCGGAUCCGGAGCUUAUCGCAAAGCGGCAGGAGCGGGCCUACUCCUUCAUCCAAUAUACCGACGUGCAUAAGUUUGUGGAGGGCCCGGUAUCCGAAGCAGAGGCAGAAAUGGCCGAGGAAGAAGACGAGGAGGCAGUCGACGAAGAGAUUGUCGUCGAGUCAGCUUCCACCGCAACGGAUGCUCCGAGUUCUGGCGCCGCCAAUCCUUUUGUCUCUUCUUAGGCACGUCGGACAAAAUACUUUAAAAUUAUCAUAUCUCCGGAAUGCCGGGUGCAGGUGUAACCGAAUUAUAACACUUUUGCUUGUGAAGCAUCGUACUUUUAAUUUAUUCAAGUCUUUUAAUUACUGAGUU